rnacentral:rRNA from 1 species
UGAGUGAUGGGGGGACGCAGGAGGAUAGGAGAUCACGCAGCUGGAUAUGCGUGUUUAAGCAGGUAGGCUGGAAACGAGGCAAAUCCCGUUUCCGUGAAGGCUGAGCUGUGAUGACGAGGGAAAUCAAGUACCGAAGUCUUCGAUUCCACACUGCCAAGAAAAGCCUCUAGCGAGAUGUAAGGUGCCCGUACCGCAAACCGACCCAGGUAGGCGAGGAGAGAAUCCUAAGGUGAGCGAGUGAACUCUCGUUAAGGAACUCGGCAAAAUGACCCCGUAACUUCGGGAGAAGGGGUGCUCUUGCGGGUGAAAGCCUGCGAGAGCCGCAGUGAAUAGGCCCAGGCGACUGUUUAGCAAAAACACAGGUCUCUGCAAAGCCGCAAGGCGACGUAUAGGGGCUGACGCCUGCCCGGUGCUGGAAGGUUAAGAGGAGGGCUUAGCGCAAGCGAAGGUCUGAAUUGAAGCCCCAGUAAACGGCGGCCGUAACAAUAACGGUCCUAAGGUAGCGAAAUUCCUUGUCGGGUAAGUUCCGACCCGCACGAAAGGCGCAACGAUCUGGGCACUGUCUCAACGAGAGACUCGGUGAAAUUAUAGUACCUGUGAAGAUGCAGGUUACCCGCGACAGGACGGAAAGACCCCGUGGAGCUUUACUGCAGCCUGAUAUUGAAUUUUGGCACAGUCUGCACAGGAUAGGCAGGAGCCUUAGAAGCCGGAGCGCCAGCUUCGGUGGAGGCGCUGGUGGGAUACUGCCCUGACUGUGUUGAACUUCUAACCCACACCCGUGAUCCGGGUGGGAGACAGUGUCAGGCGGGCAGUUUGACUGGGGCGGUCGCCUCCUAAAGUGUAACGGAGGCGCCCAAAGGUUCCCUCAGAAUGGUUGGAAAUCAUUCGCAGAGUGUAAAGGCACAAGGGAGCUUGACUGCGAGACCUACAAGUCGAGCAGGGACGAAAGUCGGGCUUAGUGAUCCGGUGGUUCCGCAUGGAAGGGCCAUCGCUCAACGGAUAAAAGCUACCCCGGGGAUAACAGGCUUAUCUCCCCCAAGAGUCCACAUCGACGGGGAGGUUUGGCACCUCGAUGUCGGCUCAUCGCAUCCUGGGGCUGUAGUCGGUCCCAAGGGUUGGGCUGUUCGCCCAUUAAAGCGGUACGCGAGCUGGGUUCAGAACGUCGUGAGACAGUUCGGUCCCUAUCCGUCGCGGGCGCAGGAAAUUUGAGAGGAGCUGUCCUUAGUACGAGAGGACCGGGAUGGACGCACCGCUGGUGUACCAGUUGUCUCGCCAGAGGCAUCGCUGGGUAGCUACGUGCGGACGGGAUAAGUGCUGAAAGCAUCUAAGCAUGAAGCCCCCCUCAAGAUGAGAUUUCCCAUUACGCAAGUAAGUAAGAUCCCUUGAAGAAGACGAGGUAGAUAGGUUCGGGGUGGAAGUGUGGCGACACAUGGAGCUGACGAAUACUAAUCGAUCGAGGACUUAAC